UGCUCAGUGGGUUAAGGACCUGGCGUUGUCGUGAGUUGUGGUGUAGGCUCGGAUCCUGGCAUUGCUGUGACUGUGGUAUAGGCUGGCAGCUGUAGCUCCGAUUUGAUCCCUAGCCUGGGAACUUCCUUUUGCUGCAGGGGGGCGGCCCUAAAAAGCAAAAAAUUAAAAAAAAAAAAAAGUAAGCACCAAAAAAUACAUCAGGGCAGGCAUACCCUGAAAAAAGUAAGGAACAGGUGAACACAAAAUUUAGGAAGGGAAGGGAUAUAGGCAGAUGAAGACACUGGCAGUGCUCUGGCUCCUGGAGUGAGCGAUGGAUUCAGAGGUGUCCCUUUUACUCACUCUUCACCUCACAGCGCUCUAGCUACCAGUCGUUUUCUCAUUUAUUUACUUGUUUCUUAUUUGUCUCUGCCCCCCACCCCAACUCUACCACCCAACUGGAAUACAGGCCCCACGAGGGCCAGGCCAGGCGCAUCUUGGUCCUUAACGAUGUCCCCGAGAUGUAGCACAGCGCCUGGCACAUCGUGGGCACCCACGGACCACCCCUCCAAGAAUUGGGUACUUGAAUGGAGAAAUGUUUCCAUCAUUGAACUGAAAUGGUAUGAAGUUAUCUGAAAACAUAGUCAACGCCUGCUCAUUCAUUUCGUUCUUCCAAAUUAGAAUUUAGAGGAGAGAGCGCGAAGUUUAUAUUUAAGUGGUAAAAGAAGAAUGUACUGAGCAAAUUAGCUAUGUAAACAGGGCGUCUGUUCACCCUCUUAAUCACCAACUCCAGCAGCUCUGGCCCCAAACACUUUGAGAAGCACUCUGGUGGUGAAUAUGCAAAUCCCAAGUGGUCCCCUGUUGAAGCCCUUCCAGGAUGCUGGAAGCGCAGGAUCCUAGCCUCUCCUCUCCCCCGGGCUCCUGUCUGCAGGGAUAACGGAUGCCCAGGAUGGGCCUGAGCUUAGCUCGUCAUGUCUAACCUGGCACUCAGACUUUGCUGGAAGUUGGACCUCCCCUAACCACCACUGGUGGCAGAUAUGGCUAAUAAAUUCCUGAAUUGCCUCCAACAGGUGUUUACAGCCCCUGAAAGUGUGAGAUGGGUUACUAGGGAAAUGCAGCCAGUUAGUCACAAGCUUAUAAACGUCUCUGAGAUUUCAAUGGCUCCUUUUGGUUGAUGCCCACCCCCCCNNNNNNNNNNNNNNNNNNNNNNNNCAAAAGGCGGAUGAAAUGCAACAGUAUCGCAAGAGCGUAGGAGAAAAAACACAAGUCCAAACAUUAGCUGUAAAGGCCUAGGUGCUCUCACUCCCUGGCAGGUUGGUUUUCCUCUCAGUAACUGCGGGCUGCUGUUCGGGAAGCCAGAGCCCAUCAGAAUUUGGUUAAAGCUGAUGGGCCAAACAGUAGACUUAAGUUUCAAACUAUCUAGAAACCACACCCAACCAUGAAGAACACAUGUGAAAACCACUCUAAUUGUACAUUUUAAGGAACAAGUACUUUCAUUUUGCUGUGGUCCCUGGUAAUUCCAAGCUAAAUAAGUCUAUGUCUUGCUCUCUGUUUUUGCACGUAUUUGGGGGAAAGGGGAGGGUUGGGUGUGAGUUAAUGCUUUGCUUCCUCUUUUCUGUGUAAUUUGAUAUUGAGGCUUGGGGAGGGCUGCUCAGAUUUUAUAAUGCCCGUUGAGCACUGGGGGUACAGCUAUUUGCCUGGCCUGAGAUUCACCCCCCAGGUGGAGGGGAGGCACCUGAUUAACAAGUGCUCCAGGAUGAGAGUCAAUAAGGGAAACUUUGCUGUUUGCAGAGAAAGGGCGCAUGGAGCCUAGGAGGGCAAGCCCAGCACCGUCCAUGGAAGUCUUGCUUCAAGCCAAAGAGGACUUGAGAAGGGGGUGGGGGGGCAGGGAUGCCUCAGGGCAGAGGCUCCCCUGCUAAUGGGACCAACAGGUGGCACAGUGAAGCUCCCUGGCAUUGGUGAAGGAUCCAUCCUCCCCAGUCCCUCCAUGUGAUGGGCAGAGGGUCUCCGGGCCCCUGGGCUCAUGUGGAGACACUCUUGGUAUGUUAGGAUCCCCAGGAGCUGUGCGUUCUGGGCUUACUGGGCCCAAUAUCUCGCAUGCUGAGCAAACAAGAGCCCACCAGGGUGCACCCUCCCAGGCCCCUGCCGCUUCAGAAGCAUCCUGGUUCGGUGGCCUCCAUGUCCUCGGGUGUGAAAUGGCAAUAACAGCAGUACCCAAAUCACAAGGCAAUUGUAAAGAAAUAACAUCAUGCUCCCAUGGCGCUUAACAAAAGCAGGUUUCCGGAGGACGUUGGCUAUGGCUGGUAUCAAGCCAGCCACAGCUGUGGGUCUGGCUUCAGCUAUUAGGACUCCAGUUCCCUCUUCUCAAGUCUGGCCUGCUUGACUGGAGACAGGGCACCUUGGGCAUCCCCUUCUCGUUGUAGUAGGGAGGGUGCAGGACCCUGUCUAAAGAUCUGAAUGGCUGGGACACUGUUAUUCCUCAAAUCAAUACCAGAACACCAGCCGGCCUAAGCGCAUCUCUGCUGCCCAGGAGAGAUGGUGCCUUUGGGGGGCCAAUCCCACUUUUGACACCAGAACCCAACCCUGCAACCCAGCCCCAGCCUCCAUGACUUCUCCAAGCAGCCUCUCCUGCUGAGAUCCUAGUAAGCCUGGGGGAGUGCAAAUCUGGAGACUGCAAACCCAGCCCCAUUCCUUGGAAUCCCCAGCCCCCGAUGGAAUGGAGUGGGCCCUUCAGAUACAGCGGUAGGUGUUAUGGGCUCAGCUGCAUCGUCCAGAAAGAUAUGCUCAAGUCCUAACCCCCCUGCCCCCCGCCCCGUACCUUAGAGCCUGAGCCUUUUUUAGAAGUAGGCGCAUUACAGGUGUAAACAGUUAAAAUGAGGUCGUAGUGGAAUAGAGUGGGCCCUACUCCAAGAUGUCCAGUCACCUUAUAAGAAGAGGAGAAGACGGCCACAAGAGGCAGAGACGGCGGCGAUUCGUUGAAAGUUAAGGAACGCGUGGACUGUCAGCAAACGCCAGAAGCUACAGGAGGCAAGGAAGCUUGUCCGCUAUAGGCUUCAGAGAAAGCACGGCCCUGUUGACACCUCGAUUUCUGAUUUCUAGAACAGUGGGAUGGUAGCUUUCUGCUGUCUGAAGGCACCUGGUUGGUGGUACCUUGUACAAUAGGCCUGGGAAACAAAUGCAGGUGUCCCCAACCCUACUGCCUGAAAUGCAGGCACCGCCCACCCUCCAGAUGGGCCCUUUGGAUACGCGGCCAGGCAGAGGCUGCCCAAGGUCCCACAGGCCUUUGCCGGCAGGAACCCGGGCCUCUGCCUCCCCUCCGACCACUGACUCUGUGCAACCGCCCCUUCUGACCCUUCCUCCCCAGCCACAUUCCUGAUGUCCCAGAAUGCCCUGCAGCCUCCCCCGCCCCCAAGGAGCAUCCUCCCAAGAUUGGACCCUCAGGGUUGUGUCCUGUUGCCUUAGUGACAUUGUGGGUGACAUCACCAGGCCCUUGUGACACGCCUGGUGCUGUGCUGAACUUCCCACAGGGACAGUAAGACCUGCUUCUCACAGCAGCCCCCUGGGGCUCGUUUCACAGAGGAGGAAACUGAGGCAGGGAAGGAAUCAAUGUUUGCAGAGCGGCGGAGCAGCUGGAAUUUGAAUGUGGGAAGCGGAAUUCCGGAGCCCUGGCCAGCCCUGCAGUCUUUGCAGAUGAACUAUUAGAGCCUUCUCUCCUCAAGAGUUCGCAGAUUGACAUUUAGUUGGGGGCCGAAACAGCUCUUCUUGUUGGCAGGUCUGAGGUCCCGGCCUGUAUCUUCCUUGCAAGAUGCCCAGGCCCUGCUCUAAACCCCACUUCCUUCAAACAGGCAGCAGGGCAGGGAGGGCUUUCCUGAUGGGGCACUCGAGGCAUGAGGCCUGGGGGGCCCACAAAUCUCAGCCCCUGGGCCUGCCGGCUGGCUGCCCUCGGGUGUGUGGUCUUGCCUUCUGAAAAGGGCGCCCGUCACCUAGGUAGUCGCCAGAAUCAAAAGGCGCAUCCCGGAUGAUGUGUUUGGCACAGCGCGUGGGCUGUGUCUCUCUCACACUUGGGCCCCAUAUGUGGUCAUUUGUGGUGAGAAUAUCCAGCCACCUGGGCUCCUCUUGGGUAAAAAAAUGCACAUGAGCUUAAAACUCAUAGCAAAUGUUUCCACAGAAUAAGUGUGAGGGAGACAAGGAAAAAUUAGUAAUCCCCCCCUUUUUUUAAUUUUUAGGGUCACAACCAUGGCAUAUGGAAUUUCCCAGGCCAGCAGUCCAUUCGGAGCCACAGUUGCUGGCCUACACCACAGCCACAGCAACACCAGAUCCUUAACCCGGGGAGGCCAGGGAUCGAACCUGCAACCUCAUGGUUCCUAGUCAGAUUCGUUUCCUCUGUGCCACAACAGGAAUUCCAGUAAAUCCUUUUUUAGGAAGUUUGGGUGAACAAACAGCAAGCUGGGAAAAUUUGCAGUGCAACCAGGAGACAGCUCCUUCUGUCUAUAUAAAGAGCACGAAUGAAUCAAUACGAAGAAAAGAUUUGGUAAAAAGUCCAACAUAAAAAUGGGCAAAAGAUAUGACCAGACACUUCACAGGAAAAUCAGUGAAAGGAGGAUUACAAAUAGAAGUUCCUCUUUGCUGAUAAUUAAAAGAAUGCAAAUCUAAACAACGAAGUGUUGCCAAGGUUUUAAAAGAAUGAUAACGACAAGGGUUCUCGAGGAUAUAGGAAACCAUUGCUCUCAUAGGCCGUGCGGGGGUGGGGGGGUGACCGGUGCAACCCGUUCAGAAGGACGGCGAGUGAACAAGAAGGUGGCAGGGCUAGGAUGGGACCCGGAUCUGCUCAGUUCCUAAGAUGCUGCUUCAAGCCCUCUGCAGCAUACCAAACCUGUUCUGGAUGCAGCCAAGCCCAGCUGACCUCCCUGCGCACAGGUGGAGGUCCUGGCUGGGCAUCAGCCCUGCUCCCCCUUGUCUGGGUGCCCAGGGGACCACUGGCCGCCCUUCCCGCUGGGAGGACUGCCAUUCUCUGGGACAUCCCGUUCACCGUGGCGCCUGCACUCCCCGCUCGGUUGUGCUCUCAGGUUUCACCCACUUUCCCUUAUCAGAGUCUCUUAGACACUCAAUAUGCUCAGGGGCUGGCUUUGCCCAAAGAGCUUGUGAAACCCAUUCUUGUUGGAGGAACAAUCACCCCUGCCACCGCCCCUUCUCAUGGCCACCGCCAGUGCCAACUUCAAAGUCGGUCGCUUCCCUGGGGUCCCCCAGCUCAGCUUCGUGGUCCUCAAGUUCAAAUUGGCUCGGUGGCCUCCCUUCCUCUGCCCUGGACGGUUGAUCUUCAUUUUCCAGACUGACUUGGGCAGCGAAGGACUCAGUCGAGGAGGUCUUAUCAGGGGCUCAUUCUGGCUUACAGCUUCCAUGAACAUAGUGAACCUGCAAGCCACGCCCACACGGCUCUUCAUGUGUAGCUUCUUCUUACUGGUUUGCCAUCCAGAUGGUUUUGAAAUCAAGGUUAUGAGCCGGUUAUUUUGAAUGUGGCGCUUAUAGCCGCAUUUAGAACAUAAGAGGAACAGCUGGUCACGAGGAUCCGUCGACAACAGGUGCCUCACCAAGCGGCGAGUUGUUUCUGUUCAAAAUUUUCUUUGUUUUAAACUAACAAAUACAACGAACUUCUUUGCAGAACAGAUCCUGACUCACAGACUUUGAAAAACUUAGGGUUUCCAAAUGAGACAGCUUGGGGGCUGGGGAGAUGCUUGGAGGGUUUGGGAUGAAGAUGCUAUAAAAUUGGGUUGUGAUGAUUGUUGUACAACUAUAAAUGUAAUAAAAUUCAUUGAGCAAUUUUUUAAAAAAGAAAAUAAAAUAACUAAUACAAUUACUGAGCUCUAUUCACAUUUGAUUUCCAGAUGAGUGUACUUAAGUUAAUUUUCUCCCCAGUUUUUAGCCUCAGUUUUGAAACAGAGCCCCACAUCAACAACUCAUUUAUCAUGGAAUGGCCUGUGAUUUUGUCCUAGUUAAUCUGUCGCUAAAUGGUAACUUGCCAUUGCAAAGUAUAUGGCUCAAGAUAAAAGCAGGACUGAAAUUAGAAAAAAAAAAAAAA
rnacentral:lncRNA from 1 species